rnacentral:rRNA from 1 species
GGGGAAUCUUCCGCAAUGGACGAAAGUCUGACGGAGCAACGCCGCGUGAGUGAUGACGGCCUUCGGGUUGUAAAGCUCUGUUAAUCGGGACGAAUGGUUCUUGUGCGAAUAGUGCGAGGAUUUGACGGUACCGGAAUAGAAAGCCACGGCUAACUACGUGCCAGCAGCCGCGGUAAUACGUAGGUGGCAAGCGUUGUCCGGAAUUAUUGGGCGUAAAGCGCGCGCAGGCGGAUUGGUCAGUCUGUCUUAAAAGUUCGGGGCUUAACCCCGUGAUGGGAUGGAAACUGCCAAUCUAGAGUAUCGGAGAGGAAAGUGGAAUUCCUAGUGUAGCGGUGAAAUGCGUAGAUAUUAGGAAGAACACCAGUGGCGAAGGCGACUUUCUGGACGAAAACUGACGCUGAGGCGCGAAAGCCAGGGGAGCGAACGGGAUUAGAUACCCCGGUAGUCCUGGCCGUAAACGAUGAGUGCUAGGUGUUAGACCCUUUCCGGGGUUUAGUGCCGUAGCUAACGCAUUAAGCACUCCGCCUGGGGAGUACGACCGCAAGGUUG